rnacentral:misc_RNA from 1 species
GAUGAAGAACGUAGCGAAAUGCGAUAAGUAAUGUGAAUUGCAGAAUUCAGUGAAUCAUCGAAUCUUUGAACGCACAUUGCGCCCCUUGGUAUUCCGAGGGGCAUGCCUGUUCGAGCGUCAUUAUAACCCUCAAGCUCAGCUUGGUGUUGGGGCCUGCUGCAGUGGCAGCCCUUAAAAUCAGUGGCGGCGCCAUCUGGCUCUAAGCGUAGUAAUUCUUCUCGCUAUGGAGUCCUGGUGGAUGCUUGCCAUCAACCCCCAAUUUUUCUAUAGUUGACCUCGGAUCAGGUAGGGAUACCCGCUGAACUUAAGCAUAUCAAUAAGCGGAGGA